rnacentral:snRNA from 1 species
CAAGUACCGCGAGGUAAAGAU